rnacentral:rRNA from 1 species
UGGGGAAUUUGGACAAUGGGCGAAAGCCUGAUCCAGCAAUGCCGCGUGUGUGAAGAAGGCCUUCGGGUUGUAAAGCACUUUUGUCCGGAAAGAAAUCCUUGGCUCUAAUACAGUCGGGGGAUGACGGUACCGGAAGAAUAAGCACCGGCUAACUACGUGCCAGCAGCCGCGGUAAUACGUAGGGUGCAAGCGUUAAUCGGAAUUACUGGGCGUAAAGCGUGCGCAGGCGGUUUGCUAAGACCGAUGUGAAAUCCCCGGGCUCAACCUGGGAACUGCAUUGGUGACUGGCAGGCUAGAGUAUGGCAGAGGGGGGUAGAAUUCCACGUGUAGCAGUGAAAUGCGUAGAGAUGUGGAGGAAUACCGAUGGCGAAGGCAGCCCCCUGGGCCAAUACUGACGCUCAUGCACGAAAGCGUGGGGAGCAAACAGGAUUAGAUACCCUGGUAGUCCACGCCCUAAACGAUGUCAACUAGUUGUUGGGGAUUCAUUUCCUUAGUAACGUAGCUAACGCGUGAAGUUGACCGCCUGGGGAGUACGGUCGCAAGAUUAAAACUCAAAUGAAUUGACGGGGUCAU